rnacentral:rRNA from 1 species
CCGUCUUGAAACACGGACCAAGGAGUGCAACAUGCGCGCGAGUCUUUGGGUGGCAAACCCCUCGGCGCAAUGAAAGUGAAGGCAGGCGUCUGGUCUGCUCAGGCGAGAGCCCCCUUCCGCGCGGGGGCGCAUCGUCGACCGAUCCCAGGCUACGCCGUGGCGGGAUUUGAGUGAGAGCGUGCCUGUUGCGACCCGAAAGAUGGUGAACUAUGCCUGAAUAGGGUGAAGCCAGAGGAAACUCUGGUGGAAGCUCGCAGCGAUUCUGACGUGCAAAUCGAUCGUCAAAUUUGGGUAUAGGGGCGAAAGACUAAUCGAACCAUCUAGUAGCUGGUUCCCUCCGAAGUUUCCCUCAGGAUAGCUGGAGCCCGGUGCAGUUUUAUCAGGUAAAGCGAAUGAUUAGAGGUCUUGGGGUUGAAACAACCUCAACCUAUUCUCAAACUUUAAAUGGGUAAGAAGCCCGGCUUGCUUGAUUGAAGUCGGGCGCAGAAUGCCGGGGCUCCUAGUGGGCCAUUUUUGGUAAGCAGAACUGGCGAUGUGGGAUGAACCAAAUGCUGGGUUAAGGUGCCCGAAUCGACGCUCAUCAGAUCCCAUGAAAGGUGUUGGUUGAUCCAGACAGCAGGACGGUGGCCAUGGAAGUCGGAAUCCGCUAAGGAGUGUGUAACAACUCACCUGCCGAAUCAACUAGCCCUGAAAAUGGAUGGCGCUCA